rnacentral:rRNA from 1 species
GACGAACGCUGGCGGCGUGCUUAACACAUGCAAGUCGAACGGAAAGGCCCUGCUUUUGUGGGGUGCUCGAGUGGCGAACGGGUGAGUAACACGUGAGUAACCUGCCCUUGAUUUUGGGAUAACUUCAGGAAACUGGGGCUAAUACCGGAUAGGAGCUCCCGCUGCAUGGUGGGGGGUGGAACGUUUAGGCGGUUGGGGAUGGAUGCGCGGCUUACGAGCUUGCUGGUGGGGUAGUUGCUUACCAAGGCUUUGACGGAUAGCCGGCCUGGGAGCGUGACCGGGGACAAUGGGACUAAGGUACGGACCAGACUCCAACGGGGGGCAGCAGGCGGAAGUAUUGCACAAUGGGCGGGAGCCUGAUACAGCGGCGCCGGGUGCGGGAUGACGGCCUUCGGGUUGUAAACCGCUUUCGCCUGUGACGAAGCGUGAGUGACGGUAAUGAGUAAAGAAGCACCGGCUAACUACGUG